rnacentral:tRNA from 1 species
GGUGACCGUAGCUCAGUCGGUCAGAGCGCCGCGUUGUGGUCGCGGAGGUCGCGGGUUCGAGGCCCGUCGGUCACCCCCA